AGUGAACGCUGGCGGUAGGCCUAACACAUGCAAGUCGAACGGCAGCACAGGAGAGCUUGCUCUCUAGGUGGCGAGUGGCGGACGGGUGAGGAAUACAUCGGAAUCUGCCCAGUCGUGGGGGAUAACGUAGGGAAACUUACGCUAAUACCGCAUACGACCUUCGGGUGAAAGAGGGGGAUCGCAAGACCUCUCGCGAUUGGAUGAGCCGAUGUCGGAUUAGCUAGUUAGCGGGGUAAUGGCCCACCAAGGCGACGAUCCGUAGCUGGUCUGAGAGGAUGAUCAGCCACACUGCAACUGAGACACGGUCCAGACUCCUACGGGAGGCAGCAGUGGGGAAUAUUGGACAAUGGGCGCAAGCCUGAUCCAGCCAUACCGCGUGGGUGAAGAAGGCCUUCGGGUUGUAAAGCCCUUUUGUUGGGAAAGAAAUCUUUCAGGCUAAUACCCUGGGAGGAUGACGGUACCCAAAGAAUAAGCACCGGCUAACUUCGUG
rnacentral:rRNA from 1 species